rnacentral:rRNA from 1 species
CCUAAGGUAGCGAAAUUCCUUGUCGGGUAAGUUCCGACCUGCACGAAUGGCAUAACGAUGGCCACACUGUCUCCUCCCGAGACUCAGUGAAGUUGAAAUGUUUGUGAUGAUGCAAUCUACCCGCGGCUAGACGGAAAGACCCCAUGAACCUUUACUGCAGCUUUGCAUUGAACUGUGAACCGAUUUGUGUAGGAUAGGUGGGAGGCAGAGAAGAGGCCACGCCAGUGGUCUUGGAGCCGACCUUGAAAUACCACCCUGAUUUGUUUGCGGUUCUAACCACGGACAGUGAUCCUGUCUUGGGACCGUGCAUGGUAGGCAGUUUGACUGGGGCGGUCUCCUCCUAAAGGGUAACGGAGGAGUACGAAGGUACGCUAGGUACGGUCGGAAAUCGUGCUGAUAGUGCAAUGGCAAAAGCGUGCUUGACUGCGAGAGCAACAACUCGAGCAGAUGCGAAAGCAGGUCAUAGUGAUCCGGUGGCUCUGAAUGGAAGGGCCAUCGCUCAACGGAUAAAAGGUACUCUGGGGAUAACAGGCUGAUACCGCCCAAGAGUUCAUAUCGACGGCGGUGUUUGGCACCUCGAUGUCGGCUCAUCUCAUCCUGGGGCUGUAGUCGGUCCCAAGGGUAUGGCUGUUCGCCAUUUAAAGAGGUACGUGAGCUGGGUUUAAAACGUCGUGAGACAGUUUGGUCCCUAUCUGCCGUGGGCGUUGGAAGAUUGACGGGGGCUGCUCCUAGUACGAGAGGACCGGAGUGGACGCACCUCUGGUGUACCGGUUGUCACGCCAGUGGCAUUGCCGGGUAGCUAAGUGCGGAAGAGAUAACCGCUGAAAGCAUCUAAGCGGGAAACUUGCCUGAAGAUGAGUCUUCCCGGAGGUAAAACCUCCCUCAAGAGUCGUCCGAGACCAGGACGUCGAUAGGUCAGGUGUGUAAGCGCUGCGAGGCGUUGAGCUAACUGAUACUAAUUGCUCGUGAGGCUUGAUCCU